rnacentral:rRNA from 1 species
AGCGUACACGGUGGAUGCCCUGGCAGUCAGAGGCGAUGAAGGACGUGCUAAUCUGCGAUAAGCGUCGGUAAGGUGAUAUGAACCGUUAUAACCGGCGAUUUCCGAAUGGGGAAACCCAGUGUGAUUCGUCACACUAUCAUUAACUGAAUCCAUAGGUUAAUGAGGCGAACCGGGGGAACUGAAACAUCUAAGUACCCCGAGGAAAAGAAAUCAACCGAGAUUCCCCCAGUAGCGGCGAGCGAACGGGGAGCAGCCCAGAGCCUGAAUCAGUAUGUGUGUUAGUGGAAGCGUCUGGAAAGGCGUGCGAUACAGGGUGACAGCCCCGUACACAAAAAUGCACAUGCUGUGAGCUCGAUGAGUAGGGCGGGACACGUGGUAUCCUGUCUGAAUAUGGGGGGACCAUCCUCCAAGGCUAAAUACUCCUGACUGACCGAUAGUGAACCAGUACCGUGAGGGAAAGGCGAAAAGAACCCCGGCGAGGGGAGUGAAAAAGAACCUGAAACCGUGUACGUACAAGCAGUGGGAGCCUCUUUAAUGGGGUGACUGCGUACCUUUUGUAUAAUGGGUCAGCGACUUAUAUUCUGUAGCAAGGUUAACCGAAUAGGGGAGCCGAAGGGAAACCGAGUCUUAACUGGGCGUUAAGUUGCAGGGUAUAGACCCGAAACCCGGUGAUCUAGCCAUGGGCAGGUUGAAGGUUGGGUAACACUAACUGGAGGACCGAACCGACUAAUGUUGAAAAAUUAGCGGAUGACUUGUGGCUGGGGGUGAAAGGCCAAUCAAACCGGGAGAUAGCUGGUUCUCCCCGAAAGCUAUUUAGGUAGCGCCUCGUGAAUUCAUCUCCGGGGGUAGAGCACUGUUUCGGCAAGGGGGUCAUCCCGACUUACCAACCCGAUGCAAACUGCGAAUACCGGAGAAUGUUAUCACGGGAGACACACGGCGGGUGCUAACGUCCGUCGUGAAGAGGGAAACAACCCAGACCGCCAGCUAAGGUCCCAAAGUCAUGGUUAAGUGGGAAACGAUGUGGGAAGGCCCAGACAGCCAGGAUGUUGGCUUAGAAGCAGCCAUCAUUUAAAGAAAGCGUAAUAGCUCACUGGUCGAGUCGGCCUGCGCGGAAGAUGUAACGGGGCUAAACCAUGCACCGAAGCUGCGGCAGCGACACUAUGUGUUGUUGGGUAGGGGAGCGUUCUGUAAGCCGUUGAAGGUGUGCUGUGAGGCAUGCUGGAGGUAUCAGAAGUGCGAAUGCUGACAUAAGUAACGAUAAAGCGGGUGAAAAGCCCGCUCGCCGGAAGACCAAGGGUUCCUGUCCAACGUUAAUCGGGGCAGGGUGAGUCGACCCCUAAGGCGAGGCCGAAAGGCGUAGUCGAUGGGAAACAGGUUAAUAUUCCUGUACUUGGUGUUACUGCGAAGGGGGGACGGAGAAGGCUAUGUUGGCCGGGCGACGGUUGUCCCGGUUUAAGCGUGUAGGCUGAUUUUCCAGGCAAAUCCGGAGAAUCAAGGCUGAGGCGUGAUGACGAGGCACUACGGUGCUGAAGCAACAAAUGCCCUGCUUCCAGGAAAAGCCUCUAAGCAUCAGGUAACAUCAAAUCGUACCCCAAACCGACACAGGUGGUCAGGUAGAGAAUACCAAGGCGCUUGAGAGAACUCGGGUGAAGGAACUAGGCAAAAUGGUGCCGUAACUUCGGGAGAAGGCACGCUGAUAUGUAGGUGAAGCGACUUGCUCGUGGAGCUGAAAUCAGUCGAAGAUACCAGCUGGCUGCAACUGUUUAUUAAAAACACAGCACUGUGCAAACACGAAAGUGGACGUAUACGGUGUGACGCCUGCCCGGUGCCGGAAGGUUAAUUGAUGGGGUCAGCCGCAAGGCGAAGCUCUUGAUCGAAGCCCCGGUAAACGGCGGCCGUAACUAUAACGGUCCUAAGGUAGCGAAAUUCCUUGUCGGGUAAGUUCCGACCUGCACGAAUGGCGUAAUGAUGGCCAGGCUGUCUCCACCCGAGACUCAGUGAAAUUGAACUCGCUGUGAAGAUGCAGUGUACCCGCGGCAAGACGGAAAGACCCCGUGAACCUUUACUAUAGCUUGACACUGAACAUUGAGCCUUGAUGUGUAGGAUAGGUGGGAGGCUUUGAAGUGUGGACGCCAGUCUGCAUGGAGCCGACCUUGAAAUACCACCCUUUAAUGUUUGAUGUUCUAACGUGGACCCGUGAUCCGGGUUGCGGACAGUGUCUGGUGGGUAGUUUGACUGGGGCGGUCUCCUCCUAAAGAGUAACGGAGGAGCACGAAGGUUGGCUAAUCCUGGUCGGACAUCAGGAGGUUAGUGCAAUGGCAUAAGCCAGCUUGACUGCGAGCGUGACGGCGCGAGCAGGUGCGAAAGCAGGUCAUAGUGAUCCGGUGGUUCUGAAUGGAAGGGCCAUCGCUCAACGGAUAAAAGGUACUCCGGGGAUAACAGGCUGAUACCGCCCAAGAGUUCAUAUCGACGGCGGUGUUUGGCACCUCGAUGUCGGCUCAUCACAUCCUGGGGCUGAAGUAGGUCCCAAGGGUAUGGCUGUUCGCCAUUUAAAGUGGUACGCGAGCUGGGUUUAGAACGUCGUGAGACAGUUCGGUCCCUAUCUGCCGUGGGCGCUGGAGAACUGAGGGGGGCUGCUCCUAGUACGAGAGGACCGGAGUGGACGCAUCACUGGUGUUCGGGUUGUCAUGCCAAUGGCACUGCCCGGUAGCUAAAUGCGGAAGAGAUAAGUGCUGAAAGCAUCUAAGCACGAAACUUGCCCCGAGAUGAGUUCU